rnacentral:rRNA from 1 species
CACGUAGGGCGCAAGCGUUGUCCGGAAUUAUUGGGCGUAAAGAGCUCGUAGGCGGUCUGUUGCGUCCGCUGUGAAAACUCGGGGCUUAACCCCGAGCCUGCAGUGGAUACGGGCAGACUAGAGGUAGGUAGGGGAGAAUGGAAUUCCCGGUGUAGCGGUGAAAUGCGCAGAUAUCGGGAGGAACACCAGUGGCGAAAGCGGCCACCUGGACUGUACCUGACGCUGAAACGCGAAAGCUAGGGGAGCGAACGGG